GGGCUCACACAAGCGGUGGAGGAUGUGGCUUAAUUCGAGGCUACGCGAAGAACCUUACCCAGGCUUGACGUGUCUAGGAAUUCCUGUGAAAGCAGGAAGUGCCCUUCGGGGAACCUUAGCGCAGGUGCUGCAUGGCUGUCGUCAGCUCGUGUCGUGAGAUGUCGGGUUAAGUCGGAUAACGAGCGCAACCCUUACCCUUUAUUUGCCAUCAGGUUAUGCUGGGAACUAUAAGGAAACUGCCAACGACAAGUUGGAGGAAGGUGGGGAUGAUGUCAAGUCAUCAUGGCCCUUAUGGCUGGGCUACACACAUGCUACAAUGGUGGUUACAAUAGGUCGCGAAAGAGUAAUCUGGAGCC
rnacentral:rRNA from 1 species